CUCAAAGAAACCCAAACAGCAAAAACAUUUAAAGACUGCUCUGCGUUAUUUCAUUUCUAUGUAAAAUAAUACACAAGAAUCGACAAAUAAUAAGUGAACGGGAAAGCCCUGAAAAUAUUUCUUUUAUUCAUUUUAUGUAAGAUUCACGCAUGGCUUUCAAAACAUUCUUUAACGAACUUGAAUUUUUGUCUCAGUACCCUAUGGUUGGAGCUGCAAUUUCAGAUAAUUCACCUGUUGUACCUGGAUAUUUAUUUGGAGAAAUUAAUGCCAUCACAUAUGUUGAUAAUGGUCGAAAUUGUAAAAUACUUACCAGUUUUUUGGUAUCAAAGUUGCAGCUUAAUACUCCUUUGACAUCAGUAAAGGUCCUAAAAAUACUUUUGUGGCUUGUCAACAAUGGACAUAAAGAAAUGAUUGAUGAAGUGAAAUUUCAAGAAAUUCCUUUGAAACAAGCCAUGUUUUUUCAUGGGCCUCCAGAUGAUCUCCAUGGAAGUACAGCUUAUGAAGAAAUUAGGAAACUCGCAAAGGAAUUGUUGGAUACAGUAUUUUCCGAAAAGCCACCCUCUAGUGAUAACUUAUCUGAACUAGCUGUUAUGCCAUUGUCUGGAUACGGUAGCCAAGCAAAUACUACUAAAAUGUCUGGAUUUGGCUAUUCUGUUAAAACACAAAAAUCUGUUUCUGAAAAAGUUACUGAUGGAAUCACAACAUUUGUGGAAAAGUUAUUACCAACUUCUGAGAAGGAAAGUCAGCCUAACCAAUCAUCGUUUCUUAGUGACUCUUUGCCACAGUAUAAACCUUUGAAAAUUGAAAAAAGUGACUUAGAAUUGGCUCCUCCUGUGGAAGAUUCAUAUAUACCAAAGUUAGCAACAGCUCAACCAAGAGCAGAAAGAAAGAUUAAACGUAUUCACAGACCAGGGAGAGCUGGAGGUGGCUGGGAUGAUUCUGAUGAUGAGGAUACAGAUGCCGCUUCUGCUGCUGUUUCAGAAGAAAUCAGUAAGGAAAAUUCAAUUCCUGCUGAAGUUGUUGAACCUAGUAAACUUGAUCUACAAGUGUCUGAUUGGUCCGAUGAAUAUAAAGUUGUAGAGGAAUUUCUUGUUGAUGAACCUUUAUGCAAGUUAGAAUACUCAAAAAUUUUGUCAUCAUGCAAAAAAUGUUCAUCUUUAAAUUGUGAGAAAAUUCUAUCAUUUAUAAUGAAAAAAUUGGUCCUUAAGGAAGAGAAUCUUCGGUUGAGAGCACUGGUUUUUAUUGAAUAUUUGCUGUUUCAUGAUAUAAUUGCUUCAGAAUCCUUAACAAAACUUGUGAUACCUACGUUGAAAACAAUAUGUGAAUCAGAACCUCCCUCCAAAGAUGCUGUGACAUUAAAGGCAAAAAAGAUCUGCUUAACUGUUGCAAAUUUAAAUAAAGUAUACCAGCAGCAGCAGCAACUUCCAAAACAGUGUACAGAAACUGAGAUAAAAUGUAAUAGCUGACAAUAAAGUUUUUAGAGAAAUUUAACUUCAUCAGACCCUGGUGACAUCCGGCCCCCCCAAUAAUUUUUCCAAGUCGGCGUCCCUGGGUGCAAACAGAUGUUCUGAAACUACCAAAAAGUUUUGCUUAGGAGAGGGGAAUUUUGUUUAACAAGACUGGCCUGAACAUUUGAUUACACCAUAAGUCAUGUGGAUCUAAAAAUUGGUGGUGAACUGAAAUACAGUGAAGUGCAGCUGCUAACGUGAGUAGGUGCUGACAAGAAGGGAAAUUGUUUGACUCAGCACAUUGUUAAAUAUGUUUCCUUAAGGAGAAUCUCACUGAAAGUUUAUGGAAGAAAAUAGAAAAAGAUGUAAAUAAAAAUGAAUAAAUUAUUGAAAAUAAAUUAUUGA